GGCCAGGCCGGCCCACAUGUACAACUAUACCACACACCAAGAGCCACAGGCCAGAGGCCACGCGGCCACGCCGUCCUCUUCACCCCAGGGUUGCCGACGCGGCGACUCCGAUCACCCACCACCGCUGCCCCCUGUCCUCCCUGCUGCCGCCUGUGCCGGGGCUAGCCCGCCGCGGAGCCAUGUCGCGGUCCUUGAGCAUGAGAGGGAGCAUGAGGGCGCGCCGCGACCUGCCUCCUCCUGAGAAGACAAUUGAAAGGCUUGAGAGUAUGGUGGAUGGAGGAAAUUUCUAUGAAGCUCAACAAAUGUACAAGUCAACCAGUGCAAGGUAUAUUGCUGCUCAGAAGUAUUCAGAAGCCUUGGACAUCCUUCAGUCAGGCGCUUUGGUUCAAUUGAAGCAUGGACAGGUUACCUGUGGUGGUGAACUUGCUGUCCUCUUUGUUGACACCCUCAUCACAGGAGAGCUUCCAUAUAGUGAACAAAUUUUUGAUCGUAUCAGAAAGAUGUAUGAGGCAUUCCCAAGGGUAACUGUUCCACAUUUCCUUGGAGAUGACUAUGAUGAUGAGGGGCAUCAAUUAUCUGAAGCUAUUUCUGCUGCCAAAGUGCGGGCAGAGAGUUGCUCAUCAUUCAUGAAAGCUGCAAUCAGGUGGUCUGCUGAGUUUGGAACAUCAAGAAAUGGUUCUUCUGAGCUUCACGUUAUGUUAGCAGAAUACAUAUAUUCGGAAUCUCCAGAGACGGACAUGACUAAAGUCUCAAGUCAUUUUGUUCGUGGAAAUGAUCCAAAAAAGUUCGCUUCUAUGCUGGUGAACUUUAUGGGCAAGUGUUACCCUGGUGAAGAUGAUACUGCAAUUGCACGUGGGGUCCUAAUGUACCUAUCUCAAGGGAACUUGAGAGAUGCAAAUUUACUUAUGGAUGAGAUGAACGAACAACUAAAAUCUGCUAACUCGGAAUUUCCGAAAACAGAUUUGAUUCAGUUCAUCAAGUAUCUUUUACCAACUUACUGGAUGAAAUAGCUGCAAAAUUUUACAAUAUACAACGCCAGAACCCUUUAGAAGGCCUUUUCAGCGAAAUGUUCAAGAUAUAAUGCACGAGAAAAGAAUUUUAUGUCGAUGCUUUCAUCUAAACCAUUGGCUGGAAUAAUACAAUUGGUCAACAAAGGUGUUUGCUCAACUAUGAAUCUCCAAGGCCAUACAUUUAGCAUCAUGCUGCAUGAAGAUAUAUACUUAGCUCUGCAGCAAAAUCGUCGAUUAGUGUCAGAUUGUUACUGAGCAUGUGUAACUGAAUUUUGUUUUCUAUUACUUGUUUCUCUUUGUUGACUUGCCCUUGAUUGUUAUUGACCAUGCAUAACUGAAUUUUGUUUUCUUUUACUUGUUUCUCCUUGUCCUGUUCACUUUUGGAGAUGUAUUUUGUGUACCCACAGAUCAAAACUAUAACCUAUUUAAAUUCAUUGAUUUUAAUAUAUGGUGUUAUCAGUAAAGUU